rnacentral:rRNA from 1 species
CCUACGGGUGGCUGCAGUGAGGAAUAUUGGUCAAUGGACGAGAGUCUGAACCAGCCAAGUCGCGUGAGGGAUGACUGCCCAAUGGAUUGUAAACUUCUUUUAUAUGGGAAUAAAAUGUUCCACGUGUGGCCUUUUGUGUGUACCAUAUGAAUAAGGAUCGGCUAACUCCGUGCCAGCAGCCGCGGUAAUACGGAGGAUCCGAGCGUUAUCCGGAUUUAUUGGGUUUAAAGGGUGCGUAGGUGGAUGGUUAAGUCAGUUGUGAAAGUUUGCGGCUCAACCGUAAAAUUGAAGUUGAAACUGGCAGUCUUGAGUACAGUAGAGGUGGGCGGAAUGCGCGGUGUAGCGGUGAAAUGCUUAGAUAUCACGAAGAACUCCGAUUGCGAAGGCAGCUCACUGGAUUGAAACUGACACUGAGGCUCGAAAGUGUGGGUAUCAAACAGGAUUAGAUACCCGAGUAGUC